CCGCAAUGGACGAAAGUCUGACGGAGCAACGCCGCGUGAGUGAUGAAGGUUUUCGGAUCGUAAAGCUCUGUUGUUAGGGAAGAACAAGUGCCGUUCAAAUAGGGCGGCACCUUGACGGUACCUAACCAGAAAGCCACGGCUAACUACGUGCCAGCAGCCGCGGUAAUACGUAGGUGGCAAGCGUUGUCCGGAAUUAUUGGGCGUAAAGGGCUCGCAGGCGGUUUCUUAAGUCUGAUGUGAAAGCCCCCGGCUCAACCGGGGAGGGUCAUUGGAAACUGGGGAACUUGAGUGCAGAAGAGGAGAGUGGAAUUCCACGUGUAGCGGUGAAAUGCGUAGAGAUGUGGAGGAACACCAGUGGCGAAGGCGACUCUCUGGUCUGUAACUGACGCUGAGGAGCGAAAGCGUGGGGAGCGAACAGGAUUAGAUACCCUGGUAGUCCACGCCGUAAACGAUGAGUGCUAAGUGUUAGGGGGUUUCCGCCCCUUAGUGCUGCAGCUAACGCAUUAAGCACUCCGCCUGGGGAGUACGGUCGCAAGACUGAAACUCAAAGGAAUUGACGGGGGCCCGCACAAGCGGUGGAGCAUGUGGUUUAAUUCGAAGCAACGCGAAGAACCUUACCAGGUCUUGACAUCCUCUGACAAUCCUAGAGAUAGGACGUCCCCUUCGGGGGCAGAGUGACAGGUGGUGCAUGGUUGUCGUCAGCUCGUGUCGUGAGAUGUUGGGUUAAGUCCCGCAACGAGCGCAACCCUUGAUCUUAGUUGCCAGCAUUCAGUUGGGCACUCUAAGGUGACUGCCGGUGACAAACCGGAGGAAGGUGGGGAUGACGUCAAAUCAUCAUGCCCCUUAUGACCUGGGCUACACAC
rnacentral:rRNA from 2 species